rnacentral:misc_RNA from 1 species
GAAAUGCGAUAAGUAAUGUGAAUUGCAGAAUUCCGUGAAUCAUCGAAUCUUUGAACGCACAUUGCGCCCUCUGGUAUUCCGGGGGGCAUGCCUGUCCGAGCGUCAUUGCGAACCCCUCAAGCACGGCUUGUGCGAUGGGCCUCCGCGUCCCCCGGAAGGGGGGACGGGCCCGAAAUGCAGUGGCGGCGUCGCGGUAAUCCGAUCAGCCCGAACGUAUGGGGACCUUCGUCACACGUCUCGCGGUGCGGACCGACGCCUCGCCUCGAAUUCCAUUUUUUUCAUCCGUUGACCUCGGAUCAGGUAGGGAUACCCGCUGAACUUAA